CCGACAUGACUGUUCUUUUAUAGGAGUGGUUAACAUUCGAGUUAUCAUCUCAUAGCCAUGUCUGUGGUGCGUGUUAUGACAAGAUAUCAAGAUGUCUUGCAUCGAAUUCCA